rnacentral:rRNA from 1 species
AGUGAACGCUGGCGGUAGGCCUAACACAUGCAAGUCGAACGGCAGCACAGGAGAGCUUGCUCUCUGGGUGGCGAGUGGCGGACGGGUGAGGAAUACAUCGGAAUCUACUCUGUCGUGGGGGAUAACGUAGGGAAACUUACGCUAAUACCGCAUACGACCUACGGGUGAAAGCAGGGGACCUUCGGGCCUUGCGCGAUUGAAUGAGCCGAUGUCGGAUUAGCUAGUUGGCGGGGUAAAGGCCCACCAAGGCGACGAUCCGUAGCUGGUCUGGGAGGAUGGUCAGCCACACUGGAACUGAGAAACGGUCCAGACUCCUACGGGAGGCAGCAAUGGGGAAUAUUGGACAAUGGGCGCAAGCCUGAUCCAGCCAUACCGCGUGGGUGAAGAAGGCCUUCGGGUUGUAAAGCCCUUUUGUUGGGAAAGAAAUCCAGCUGGCUAAUACCCGGUUGGGAUGACGGUACCCAAAGAAUAAGCACCAGCUAACUUCGUGCCAGCAGCCGCCGUAA